rnacentral:rRNA from 1 species
GAUGAACGCUGGCGGCGUGCCUAACACAUGCAAGUCGAGCGAAAAGACGCGGCGUUUGCUCCUCUGACGUUAGCGGCGGACGGGUGAGUGACACGUGGAUAACCUACAUAUAAGACUGAGAUAACUUCGGGAAACUGGAGCUUAUGGCGGAUAACCUGUAGCACCGCAUGGUUCAACAGUGAGAGUCGGUCUUGUUGUCACUUAUAGAUGGUUCUGGCCCGCCUUAGCUAGUUGGUGAUGUAGGGGUUUACGAAGGCUAGGAUGCGUAGCAGACCCGAGAGGGUGGUCGUCCACCCUGGAAGUGAGACACGGCCCAGACUCCUGCGGGGAGCAGCAGUAGGGAAUCUUCCGGGAGGGGCGAGAGCCGAACGGAGCAACGCCGCCGGAGUGAUGAAGGUCUUCGGAUGCGAGAACUCUGUUAUUAGGGAAGAAGAAAAGUGUAAUUAUCUGUGCACGUCUUGACGGUACCUAAUCAGAAAGCCACGGCUAACUACGUG